rnacentral:rRNA from 1 species
GACGAACGCUGGCGGCGUGCCUAAUACAUGCAAGUCGAACGAGAGCGACCGGUGCUUGCACUGGUCAAUCUAGUGGCGAACGGGUGAGUAACACGUGGGUAACCUGCCCAUCAGAGGGGGAUAACAUCCGGAAACGGAUGCUAAAACCGCAUAGGUCUUCGAGCCGCAUGGCUUGAAGAGGAAAAGAGGCGCAAGCUUCUGCUGAUGGAUGGACCCGCGGUGCAUUAGCUAGUUGGUGAGGUAACGGCUCACCAAGGCCGUGAUGCAUAGCCGACCUGAGAGGGUGAUCGGCCACAUUGGGACUGAGACACGGCCCACACUCCUACGGGAGGCAGCAGUAGGGAAUCUUCCGCAAUGGACGCAAGUCUGACGGAGCAACGCCGCGUGAGUGAAGAAGGUUUUCGGAUCGUAAAACUCUGUUGUUAGAGAAGAACAAGUGCUAGAGUAACUGUUAGCGCCUUGACGGUAUCUAACCAGAAAGCCACGGCUAACUACGUG